GAUGAACGCUGGCGGCGUGCCUAAUACAUGCCAGUCGAGCGAACAGACGAGGAGCUUGCUUCUCUGACGUUAGCGGCGGACGGGUGAGUAACACGUGGAUAACCUACCUAUAAGACUGGGAUAACUUCGGGAAACCGGAGCUAAUACCGGAUAAUAUAUUGAACCGCAUGGUUCAAUAGUGAAAGACGGUUUUGCUGUCACUUAUAGAUGGAUCCGCGCCGCAUUAGCUAGUUGGUAAGGUAACGGCUUACCAAGGCAACGAUGCGUAGCCGACCUGAGAGGGUGAUCGGCCACACUGGAACUGAGACACGGUCCAGACUCCUACGGGAGGCAGCAGUAGGGAAUCUUCCGCAAUGGGCGAAAGCCUGACGGAGCAACGCCGCGUGAGUGAUGAAGGUCUUUGGAUCGUAAAACUCUGUUAUUAGGGAAGAACAAAUGUGUAAGUAACUAUGCACGUCUUGACGGUACCUAAUCAGAAAGCCACGGCUAACUACGUG
rnacentral:rRNA from 1 species